rnacentral:rRNA from 1 species
GACAGCUGAAUGAUAGUCGGGCUGAAGACUCUACUUGACUAGCUGAGAGAGGUGCAUGGCCGUCGUCAGUUCGUACUGUGAAGCAUCCUGUUAAGUCAGGCAACGAGCGAGACCCACGCCAACAGUUGCCAGCUCGUCCUCCGGGAUGUGGGGACACUGUUGGGACCGCCUCUGCUAAAGAGGAGGAAGGAAUGGGCAACGGUAGGUCAGCAUGCCCCGAAUUAUCUGGGCUACACGCGGGCUACAAUGGGUGGGACAAUGGGUAUCGACACCGAAAGGUGAAGGCAAUCUCCUAAACCCAUCCGUAGUUCGGAUUGUGGGCUGCAACUCGCCCACAUGAAGCUGGAAUCUGUAGUAAUCGUGUCUCAAAAUGGCACGGUGAAUAUGUCCCUGCUCCUU